rnacentral:lncRNA from 1 species
CUUAACGCCUGAAAAAUGCCGAGUUGCAUCAUGGGAAUAUAUAAUCACACGUAAACUGCCAAGUUGCAUUAUAAGAAUAUGUAAUCACACGUAAACUGCCAAGUUGCAUUAUGAGAAUAUGUAAUCACACGUAAAUUGCCAAGUGUCAACACAGGUCCACUACCUGAACAUGUAUAUAAUCAUUCGGCUAAAGUACACAAAAUUACGGUAAUAUUUCAAACUACUCAAAAUGCAAGCCCUUAUAAUAUUUCAAAACAGUGAUCAAAAUGAAAUUGCGUUAAGAUACACA